rnacentral:pre_miRNA from 1 species
AAAAGAUUGGUGACGACGGGAGAGGGCACGCUCGAACACCUCCAGGCACUCGCUGCAUGAACGCAUUCCGGCGUGCUCUCUCUCGUUGUCACCCACUUACGCC